GGCGAUAGCUGAGAUUCAUCAAGAAGCAACAAAAUUAUGAUUAUGUAUAUACAUAUAUAUAUAUAUAUAAACUCACUUGAUCAAGAAAUGGGGAACAUUUUGGGAACAUUGAAGCGCCGCGUGCAACCAGUUAAUAUAUGAAAGUAAAGAACUCUGUGCCGUACCACAUCGAGGAAUUUGUUUCAAGCUUAUGACGACGCUUGCUUCAUUCAAUAUAUAUUAUAACUAGCUGGCAUUGCCCGGCCUUGCGCGGUCCAAGCUUGUCGCUACCUGCUGAAGUCUAGUCAAACGAACUUCAACUCUCCAGUCAAUUUCUAUCAAGAAUUUUGGAGUCAACAUUUUGGACCUGAACGUAGUCUCAGCAUAGUUGCCUUUUCUUAACAUUCCAAAAAUUACUAGUUUUACAAAUUUUAAGUUUCUCCCGUUAUUGACAAGCAGCAUGCAAUGCGACGAAGGACUGGGAAGCACUUUGCCCUGGUGUCAUAAAUGUUGUGUCUGGAGUGUAAUUUUCUGUUGCCUUUUUAGCAUAUUUAUAGGUCUCGGCGUUGCGAUUGGUUUGACGCGACAAUAUGAAUACACACUUUUUUAAUAGUUUUAUAACCGUUACCGUUAUAUAAAUAUAUAUAUUAAAUGUGUGCAAGAAGCCAAGUAAAGCGGAUCGGAUCGAUGGACUUUAUCGUAUAUUUUAUCGGGCGACUAUAUCAUAUAGCUCUAUUAUGGGAAGAAUUCGUUUGCGGCUGACAUUUUGUAAGGCAAAGUUUUCUGUUUGGUAAAACAUCAAAAAGCCCCACAAUUGCUCAAGAUUUUAUACCUAAGAUCGCAGAUAUAAUAAUAAAAAUAGACUUUUUACAAUUUCAA